AAACUUAAAGGAAUUGACGGGGACCCGCACAAGCGGUGGAUGAUGUGGAUUAAUUCGAUGCAACGCGAAGAACCUUACCUACCCUUGACAUGUCCGGAACUUGCCAGAGAUGGCUUGGUGCCCGAAAGGGAACCGGAACACAGGUGCUGCAUGGCUGUCGUCAGCUCGUGUCGUGAGAUGUUGGGUUAAGUCCCGCAACGAGCGCAACCCUUGUCCUUAGUUGCUACGCAAGGGCACUCUAAGGAGACUGCCGGUGACAAACCGGAGGAAGGUGGGGAUGACGUCAAGUCCUCAUGGCCCUUAUGGGUAGGGCUUCACACGUCAUACAAUGGUCGGUACAGAGGGUUGCCAAGCCGCGAGGUGGAGCCAAUCCCACAAAGCCGAUCGUAGUCCGGAUUGUUCUCUGCAACUCGAGAGCAUGAAGUCGGAAUCGCUAGUAAUCGCAGGUCAGCAUACUGCGGUGAAUACGUUCCCGGGUCUU
rnacentral:rRNA from 1 species